rnacentral:rRNA from 1 species
AUUGAACGCUGGCGGCAUGCCUUACACAUGCAAAUCGAACGGUAACGGGCCUUCGGGUGCCGACGAGUGGCGAACGGGUGAGUAAUACAUCGGAACGUGCCCGAUCGUGGGGGAUAACGAGGCGAAAGCUUUGCUAAUACCGCAUACGAUCUACGGAUGAAAGCAGGGGACCGCAAGGCCUUGCGCGGACGGAGCGGCCGAUGGCAGAGUAGGUAGUUGGUGGGAUAAAAGCUUACCAAGCCGACGAUCUGUAGCUGGUCUGAGAGGAUGAUCAGCCACACUGGGACUGAGACACGGCCCAGACUCCUACGGGAGGCAGCAGUGGGGAAUUUUGGACAAUGGGCGCAAGCCUGAUCCAGCCAUGCCGCGUGCAGGAUGAAGGCCUUCGGGUUGUAAACUGAUUUUGUACGGAACGAAAAGCCUUCUUUUAAUACAGGAGGGUCAUGACGGUACCGUAAGAAUAAGCACCGGCUAACUACGUG